rnacentral:rRNA from 1 species
CCUACGGGUGGCAGCAGUGGGGAAUAUUGGGCAAUGGGCGCAAGCCUGACCCAGCAACGCCGCGUGAAGGAAGAAGGCUUUCGGGUUGUAAACUUCUUUUCUCAGGGACGAAGCAAGUGACGGUACCUGAGGAAUAAGCCACGGCUAACUACGUGCCAGCAGCCGCGGUAAUACGUAGGUGGCAAGCGUUAUCCGGAUGUACUGGGUGUAAAGGGCGUUUAGGCGGUACUGCAAGUCAGAUGUGAAAACCACGGGCUCAACCUGUGGCCUGCAGUUGAAACUGUAGUUCUUGAGUACUGGAGAGGCAGACGGAAUUCCUAGUGUAGCGGUGACAUGCGUAGAUAGUAGGAGGAACACCAGUGGCGAAGGCGGUCUGCUGGACAGCAACUGACGCUGAGGCGCGAAAGCGUGGGGAGCAAACAGGAUUAGAUACCCGUGUAGUC